GGAUAGCCACUGGAAAUGGUGGGUAAUACCGUAUAAUCCCCGCGGGGGAAAGAUUUAUCGCUAUUAGAUGAGCCUAUGUCGGAUUAGCUAGUUGGUGGGGUAAUGGCCUACCAAGGCAGUGAUCUGUAGCUGGUCUGAGAGGAUGAUCAGCCACACUGGAGCUGAGACACGGUCCAGACUCCUACGGGAGGCAGCAGUGGGGAAUAUUGGACAAUGGGCGCAAGCCUGAUCCAGCUAUGCCGCGUGAGUGAGGAAGGCCUUAGGGUUGUAAAACUCUUUCAGUAGGGAAGAUAAUG
rnacentral:rRNA from 1 species